CCCAUAUCCACAAGGUCAGAAGGACCAAGAUUUACCGAGGACCUGGACAUGCCACCAGUUACCCAUGUGACCUCCUCCCAAGGCAGAGAGCCCAACUUGAGGAGACCAGACCGAGCAGGAACUGAACCCGGGACUCUGUGGUCCACAGGCCAAUGCUCCAACCACUGAGCCAAACGGGCCAGGGCGUCAUACCAUUCUUGAGGACAAAUCCCUGUUGGAUCAAAAACAAAACUGGCAUUCUUGUGCCCUUGCUGAUACCCUGGUCCAGGCCUCAGGCCCAAGCCUGGGCCUGGGCAGCAGCUUCUGGUGGUCUGUCUGAGGCCAGAGCUUCCCCCUCUGGCGACAGUGUCUCCCAGUGCAGAGCAUUUCGCCCUCUUGACCACCUUCGGCAGGAGCACCGUCUGUGACGCCAGAAGAGACGGCACUGUGCCAAGCCACGCAGCGACCUGGGCCAGUCUUCACAGCAACCCAGAGGCUGCGCACUAACUGUCAGCAUGAAUGAAUGAUGGGUGGUUGGAAAAUGGUAAAGAGCACGCUAUGUAUACUUUAGCACAAUAAAAGGAGAAGAAAGAGGCUGGCAGGCUGCCGGGAAGGAAGCAGGAAGACAGCCGCACUCACCCGGGCGAUCCUCCGGUCUCUGUUCAGCACCAGCCCUGGAAGGGAACCACACAUGAUCAGGGCGAGGGGCCUCAUCUCAGCUUCCCCGGGACCCUGGGCCCUUCUCGCCAGGGCUCAUUCUUCAGCCUGCACUGGCAGGGACCAUCCCUGACAUCCUCCUGGGGGUUCAGCUGGGGCAGAGCUUGUCCACAGCCACCCGGCCAUGGACAGAUGCGGGCCACAGGGCCCAGAGGACAGCGCAGAAGGAUGGAGGCAGGAACAGCUACCCGACCUGACCUUGGAGUUCUCUGAGCCUUCCAGUGAUUAU